UACGUAGGGUGCGAGCGUUAAUCGGAAUUACUGGGCGUAAAGCGUGCGCAGGCGGCGCGUUAAGACAGGUGUGAAAGCCCCGAGCUUAACUUGGGAAUUGCGCUUGUGACUGGCGAGCUGGAGUGUGGCAGAGGGAGGUGGAAUUCCACGUGUAGCAGUGAAAUGCGUAGAGAUGUGGAGGAACACCUGAGGUGAAGACGGGUUGCUGGGCCGACACUGACGCUGAGUGCGCGAAAGCCAGGGGAGCAAACGGG
rnacentral:rRNA from 1 species